rnacentral:rRNA from 1 species
CCUACGGGAGGCAGCAGUGGGGAAUAUUGGACAAUGGGGGCAACCCUGAUCCAGCCAUGCCGCGUGAGUGAUGACGGCCUUAGGGUUGUAAAGCUCUUUUCUCCGGGACGAUAAUGACGGUACCGGAGGAAUAAGCCCCGGCUAACUUCGUGCCAGCAGCCGCGGUAAUACGAAGGGGGCUAGCGUUGCUCGGAAUCACUGGGCGUAAAGGGCGCGUAGGCGGCUGACUUAGUCGAGGGUGAAAGCCCGUGGCUCAACCACGGAAUGGCCUUCGAUACUGGUUGGCUUGAGACCGGAAGAGGACAGCGGAACUGCGAGUGUAGAGGUGAAAUUCGUAGAUAUUCGCAAGAACACCAGUGGCGAAGGCGGCUGUCUGGUCCGGUUCUGACGCUGAGGCGCGAAAGCGUGGGGAGCAAACAGGAUUAGAUACCCUGGUAGUCCACGCUGUAAACGAUGAAUGCUAGCCGUUGGUCUGCAUGCAGGUCAGUGGCGCCGCUAACGCAUUAAGCNUCCGCCGUGGGAGGUACGGUCGCGAGAAGUUAAAACUAACUAAAGAAAGUUAGACGGUCGUUGAGAGUUGCCGACGGACGACCGACGAGGGGAGGAGG